AUGAAAUUGAGGGUUGGGAUGAGAUCAUGAGAGGGAUGAGUGACAAAAGUGAAAACAAAAUCUUGAAAGUGAAAAUAAUUUCAAAUAUAUUUCAGUUUUUAGUUUUUGUUUUCAUUUUUGUUACACCUUCCUCUCAUCCUCUCCUCUCAUCUUCCCUUUCAUU
rnacentral:miRNA from 1 species